rnacentral:rRNA from 1 species
GAGUUUGAUUAUGGCUCAGGAUGAACGCUGGCGGCAUGCCUAACACAUGCAAGUUGAACGAGAAGUUUUGGAGGGAGUCUUCGGACGAACGAAGGAAUGGAAAGUAGCGAACGGGUGAGUAACGCGUGGGCAACCAACCUUACACAGGGGGAUAACACAGAGAAAUCUGUGCUAAUACCGCAUAAGCGCACAGUACUGCAUAGUACAGUGUGAAAAACUCCGGUGGUGUAAGACGGGCCCGCGUCUGAUUAGCUAGUUGGUAGGGUAAAAGCCUACCAAGGCAACGAUCAGUAGCCGACCUGAGAGGGUGAUCGGCCACAUUGGGACUGAGACACGGCCCAAACUCCUACGGGAGGCAGCAGUGGGGGAUAUUGCACAAUGGAGGAAACUCUGAUGCAGCAAUGCCGCGUGAAGGAAGAAGGUCUUCGGAUUGUAAACUUCUAUCAGCAGGGAAGAAAAUGACG